AGAGAUGGACGAACCAAUCUUGGUAUCACUACUUGGGAAAUGCAGACGUUGACAACCGGAGAGUUCCACCCGUUUUAAGGAUAAACAAGCUCGAUAUAGCAGGGAAUGAUAAAACUCAGCGGAUCGCUUGCCGACACAAUGCAUCGUGUCCGGGCGAAACCUUGACCGAAAAAACAAUUGCUUUAUUCAACAAAUGAUAAUGUGGAGCAGGAUGCGAGAAUUUUAUUGAAUGUCAACAUAACAAAAGUCAAGUGACGUGGGGCAAAGUUGUAGACGUAUGUAAACAACAAAAGAGGGAUCUCUUUGUGCGCGGGCGAAACCUGGACCGAAAAAAGCAGCUGCUUUAUUCAACAAAAGAUGAAGUGGAGAAGAAUAAAGAGAAUUUAAUGAAUCUCAACAUAAAAGUCAAGGGUCAUCGGCAGAAGUUGUGGGCGUAUACAAACAACGAGAGAGCGAUCACACGAUCAAGUACAGUGUGCUAAAGGAAGACAAGACAAAAGGUUCAGGUUUGCCAGGCAACGCUCCCCUUCAUUUUCUCCUUAAGGCCAGAGUUUCCCAAUGUGCCUGUUCCAAAUACCUGCAGUCAUUUCCUGUGUGCUGGAGCAUUCAGACAUCGGCAGCUGUCCCCUCUGCUUUCAGUCCCUGAAGAUCCAAAAGGAUCUGGCGCUGUACCACCCAGACACGGAAACCUUUUUUCCCCCCAGUCCUGGCCUUCUCUCUGGCUCACCGUAAGAGAGUGGGAGAAAUUCACCAGUAGAAGGUCAUAAAGAAUACCCAGGUCAUCACUCAAAUGGGAUCUAAUGUUCACUGUGGCAUAACUCAUGACUCAUGUAAUUGACAUUGUAUAACAAAUCUUUUAGAUACCUCAGUGGCUGAUGACGGUUUCCCCAGAGCUGAACGAAAGACCUUAGAAAUUUUGAACAUUAGAAAAGGUGACCUGCUGCUCAUCACUUUCAAAAAGAGGGAGUGACACUUGAAAUUCAUAGGGACAAUCAGUGUGAUCUUGGUCAGUCAUGGUUCUCUCUAAAUUGCCAAUGAGAUAAGGUAUGAAGGAAAAUUGAAAAUAAUUGAAGUGAUUAUUGUAGCAUCUGCAAAAUUCAAUAAAGAAAGGUCAAGGACAAAUGUCCUCAUCUAAGAAAUCUUAGCGAUUAACAACUUCAAAUAUUAUUUUUUGUUUUUGUUUUAACCUUCUGGAAUUUCAAACUGGCUUAAUAGUUGUAUCAAGAGCCAAUUUCAUAAUUGAAACAAAAAAACAGUGACAAGUCAUCAUUUAUGUUAUUGAGCUUAGGAUGUAAUGUAUGUUGACAGAUAAAGGGAGUCUCCAACCCCCAGGGCAUGUAAAAGUUGAUCUGUUAUCCGGUUCCUGUCUUUUUCAUUCACACAAUUGCGUCGACUAUUGGAGUAUACCUCAAAAGCUAAACUAGCUGGGUUGGUAAUAAUAAAUUAGUUUGGGUGGGUAAAUAACAUUAAACACCUCGAUAUUGAAUUUUUUAUUGAACUUUUUGAUCAACCUCAGUCAAUGUUGUGUCAAAUUGUUGGGUUCUUCAUAGGCAAUACUCAUUAAAACAAUAAAAAGGAAUUAAAAAGCCAAUAAAUCCUUCGUGUCGCUACAUUUUUCAACCAAAAUAAUUCUUAGCCUGUUUGACACGUGUUACCCCCAACUAAAAAAAAAAGUGUAACUUUGUCUUUCUUGUUAUUGUAGAGCAUUUUUUAAAAACAAAAACUCUCUUCAUGACUUUCAACAAAAAGAAAGGAAUUGGAACCUCUAAGGAUUACCACUGCCGCAACUCAAUGACUAAAUUUAUGGCCUUGUUGUCCUACUAUUAGAUGCAUUUCUAGUCAACUGUUCACCACCUGGUGCUUCGUUGACUGGGGAGGACAGCGGUAAGGCCUAGCAGACCCAAACGUACUGUGAGGGUCUGCUGAGAAUAUCUGAUGGAGUCUUUUGUCAGAUGCAGUUUCAACUCUCAACUCUGACAAACCAUUGAUUGCAUCUUGUACAGACCAUUAGUCAUCUUUCUAGAAAGAUUUUUGAAGAUGAUGUGGUUCUCUUGGUUUAAUCUAUUGGUGAACCUGAACUCUUGGAGGGGUUUGCUGCAAAGUGCAAAGCAGAUAGAAUAAUAAUCAGCACCUCUAAUUCUGUGACCACAGUCCUCGGACAGAAAAAGGUGGGGUGCCUUUUCUGUGUCGGAAAUGAGAUUAUAUGCUAAUCCGAAGUGCUCAAGCAAAUUGGGGUCCUAUGAACAGGUGAGGGAAGAGGGAAUAUUAUCUGCUGCACCUCCGCAUCGAGAUGAGUCAGAGGAGGCGGCUUGAGAAUUUGAUUACGUGUUGUGUUUUUGAUCAAGUUAAGAGGUCCCAGGGAUGGCCAAAAUGCAAUGGAGAAUCUCUUUCUCUUGGCUGACCAGGGAACACCAAAGGACCAAUCCAGAAGAGCUGAAUGAAGAGGCUGAGAAGAGGGAAGUCUGGGUUGCCCUAAUUGUAUAAUAAUCAGAUACAGAGUCCAAAUAAUAAACUAUGAGACCAUUAAUAUUGUUACUAUUGAAUUAUAAAUUGUGCACUUUGCCAAGUUUUGUUCAACAGUAGAUACGAUUGAUGUUAUCCUGACCACUGUUUUUUUUACCAUUCUCCACAGUUAUAAGGAAACAUACUAAGUUACAAUUAAAGUUUGCAAGAAACUAAGCACAAACAAUACCAUUGACCAAUUUGGUAGUUCAUGACCAAUGAACUACUGUAGUCUAGGAAUUUAACAAGAGCAACAGCACUUUUCUUUUGCAAUGACCAGCACCUGAUGUUCUGUUGACAUUUUGAGAUCAACUUUAACUCAUGAAAAUGCUAUUAAGGGCCAUUUGCAGCACGAGAUAGGAAACAGUCAUUAUCCAACACUGAAAGAAACACCAGUUUCCUAUUACACAGAGUAGACUGGUUGUUCCUUAGAGAUGAAAAUACACCACAUUGAUUUUCUUUUUAUGUGUAUUGCAUGGUAUAAAAACUAGAACCCGGCGAGAACUACGUUUCACCACAUGUAGAGCGAGUUGUCGAUUUUUUUUCCACAUUUAUUAUUCUGUGUAUAUUACAAGUACUUUGGGUUGUGUGCUGACUGGCAAACUAAAAAGGUGCACUGUCGACUUUUCAGUGAAAGCUGCUUUAAUGAGUGAGCAUGUAAGGACUUUCAUCCCUAUGUAGUGUUCGAUAUCCGACAGACCAUUAUGGUGGCUCGGGUAAAUUAAGGACAUGGGUCCCAUAGUGAAUAUUAAAUUUUAUCACACUAUUAGAGAAGUGAUACACUGAGAGUGUGGAUUAUAAAUACUAGCUGGAUAUUACUACUGCUGGUGUGCCUGAAUCUCUUAUUUCCUAACAUAUAAAUGUGGUGUGGAAGCAAUUUUCCUUAUAAUAAGUAAAAAUCAUUGCAACUGUUUUUAGAACACGCAGCAACAAUUACUUUAUUUUGAUUCCAAAAAUUUACAAACACAGUGAUUGAUUGACAUGCUGCUGCACCGUGUUAAAAAUCCACCGGGAGACAAUUGCAUGCGGCCAAUUUUUAUGAAAGAUUUUAAAUGAAUUAAAUUAAAGUUAGCAGGGAUAGGCUCCGGCACUCCCGCUGCUUGUGAGGAUAAGUGGUGUGGAAAAUAGAUGGACGGAUAAAAAUAUAUAUUUUGCGUGUCUGCAUUGCCUGCUGUCCUGCUUUGAGGGCACCAAUAACUAGCGUCAUUCUUCUACACACACUAGUGGUUGCUUCUGCGUCUUCUACAGGCAAUUCAGGUUGAGUAAGUAAAAUCUUCUACAUAUUGGAGGCAUUUGCACAUGCCGAAAUCCGUGUGCAUUUUAUGAAAUUGAGGUUUUAACAGUUUGGUUUGAACACAAUUUUGUUGUACUUAUAAACUAAUAGCCGCUAGCAACCAAAAAAAAAAAAAAAAAAACAAAUUGUUAAAUAUGCCACAUGGCUCAGAGCCCCUGAAAAAAGUAGCAGCCUGAUGUCCGGAAAAUACGGUACAGUACUAAAAAUAAUUAUGGGCAAUAGAGUUGCUUAUUGGUACACGUCUGUUUCGUUUGUCGAGUUUGCAUGUUCUCCCCAUUCUGGUUAAGGGUUUAUGCAAAGUACAGCCUAGAGGCCGUUCAGGGCUCUCUUCUAUUUUGAAUACGACCCGAGGCAUUUACUAUGAAUGAUAUUUGACACGAUCUGCAACACUAUUUAAAAAGAAAAGUGUGGAGGGCAGUGUGAAAACUGUGGUUGUCAACAAACUGAGCUCAAAAAAUAUUUAAUUAGAAAGAACGGCAAACUAAGCUGUCUAACAACCAAACAAUCAAAGUAACAAAGUACAUAUGACACGAACCGAAACUUGACAGGAAAUGAAAAACACCAAACUGAUUAACGAGACAACGAGGAAUACCUGGACAAGACAUGAGUGGCUGGAGGGAGCUAAUUGGUCAACACAAGGGAGGAGGGGAAACGUGAACAAGUGGACACAGUUAACAAAAUGAGCACACGAAACAUGGAACACAGGAAACAAACAAAACUAACCCAACCCAACUAAAACUCAGACCAUGACAGAUUUCUUCCACUUUCUGCUUGGUGUCAAAGUCUGAUUUGUAAACAAUGACUUUCAAGAAACUGCUUUGAAAAUUACUGACAGAUGCUCUCCUUUUGUUCCAAAAUGCUAAGCCCUGUUCAAUGCAGGGGUGCAUUUAUUCUAGUGGGAGACAGAGCCGUGGGCCACCCCAAAAUCUUAAAAUGUCCGACAACUACAAAACUCAUACCGUAUACAUUCAAGUUCAAAUGCCAGGUUUUUGUGGGGGAAAAAAAACUAACACCAAGAUAAAUUAAUUUCAGACGAACUUUGUUCAUCAUUAGCUAAACGUAAGCUGUACAACUCAAAUGAGGCAGGGGGGAAAAAAAUUUGUGAUAAGAGGGUGUCCACAUAUUAUCAUCAUUUAUAUGCAUGAAUAUGACUGAAUGCUUGUUUGUGCUUGGCGAUUGACUGGCGACCAAUCCCUCUCAUGCUUAAAGUCAGCUGGGAUAGGCUCCAGCUCACGCACGACCCUGGUGACAAUGACCAUGACAGAAAAUUGGAUGGAUAAAUACUACUACAACUAAAAAUAAUAAUAACAAUAAAAAUUGAGCUCUGAGAAUGACUGAAGACCAGUCUGUAGUGUAGUAUGAGAGACUGUAAAAGGAUAUCGACGAGUAAAAACAGCCUGCGGGAAUCUCGCAAGAAUAUUUAUUUUCAGGUGCUUUGUCCAUUUCCCUUUUUUUAUAUAUAUAUAUAUAUAUAUAUAUAUAUAUGUGUGUGUGUACACAAAUCACA